rnacentral:rRNA from 1 species
UGUGCUUGCACAUCGCUGACGAGUGGCGGACGGGUGAGUAAUGCUUGGGAACUUGCCUUUGCGAGGGGGAUAACAGUUGGAAACGACUGCUAAUACCGCAUAAUGUCUUCGGACCAAACGGGGCUCCGGCUCCGGCGCAAAGAGAGGCCCAAGUGAGAUUAGCUACUUGGUAAGGUAACGGCUUACCAAGGCGACGAUCUCUAGCUGUUCUGAGAGGAAGAUCAGCCACGCUGGGACUGAGACACGGCCCAGACUCCUACGGGAGGCAGCAGUGGGGAAUAUUGCACAAUGGGGGAAACCCUGAUGCAGCCAUGCCGCGUGUGUGAAGAAGGCCUUCGGGUUGUAAAGCACUUUCAGUUGUGAGGAAAAGUUAGUAGUUAAUACCUGCCAGCCGUGACGUUAACAACAGAAGAAGCACCGGCUAACUCCGUGCCAGCAGCCGCGGUAAUACGGAGGGUGCGAGCGUUAAUCGGAAUUACUGGGCGUAAAGCGCACGCAGGCGGUUUGUUAAGCUAGAUGUGAAAGCCCCGGGCU